rnacentral:misc_RNA from 2 species
CCUUAAAGAACCUGCCUUUGCAGUGCUCACACAGAUUGUCUGAUGAACGUAAAGAAGCAAGGCGUCUUGCGAUUGAGACUUCAGUGUCCCCUUCGUCUAGAGGCCCAGGACACCGCCCUUUCACGGCGGUAACAGGGGUUCGAAUCCCCUAGGGGACGCCACUUGCUGGUUCGUGAGUGAAAGACGCGUGCCGAACUAUCUCAAAACUCAUCUUCGGGUGACGUUUGAGAUAUUUGCUCUUUAAAAAUCUGGAUCAAGCUGAAAAUUGAAACGACACACAGUCAAUGUGUGUUCGAGUCUCUCAAAUUUUCGCAAUCAGAAGUGAAACAUCUUCGGGUUGUGA